GUUAUUCGUUUCGAAAGUUAGUAUUGCCUCUCAUAAUUAUUUCUCGUCAAUUUAUUAUGAUAGUCUGUUUGGCGUUUAUAUUAGAACUCCUAUUUGUACUCUUUAGACUAGUGUAUCAUGUCUAAAUUUUAUUUUGAUAUCUAUAGUGAUGUACAUGUUAUUAUAUUUUAGAGACUUGUGUUGAUGUUUCGUUCGAUUUAACAUGUACACGUUAGAACCCCUUUGUGUUGAUAUUUUGUCGCAUGUGUUGUGACAUUAUAUUUUGUUAGAAUACCGUAGGGUAUACCUGAGCUAUAACCACCUGUGGGGGUACCACAGGCAUGUCCUCUUGGCACCGAGGCAUGACACCUUCCGUGGC
rnacentral:lncRNA from 1 species